AUGCUACAUUCCUGAGACAAGCCAAAGAGAAGUUUGACAUCCCUCAUGAGACAAAUUUAUAUGUUGUGGAUAAAACUGGGACAGAGAUUGACGAGGACGUGUUUAGUGAUCUUCUGGACGAAAAGUCCGACAUUGUCUGGAACCUUGUUGAUGCCUCUUCUGUUCAGGAAUCUCCAGUGCAGUCUUCAUGCACAGAUACCCUGUCUCUCUCAUCAUCAAUUUCAUCAGACAAUGAGACUUCCUUCAUGUCCCCUAAAAGAAGUUACACUGCAGACCCUAAGUCCCAAAGAAAAGAAUCAAGUGAUGAAAGUUCUUCAGAUGCA